UAAAGUGCCUUUUCAUUUCCUUUCUG
rnacentral:piRNA from 1 species